UAGAGUUUGAUCCUGGCUCAGAUUGAACGCUGGCGGUAUGCUUAACACAUGCAAGUCGAACGGUAACAGGCCUUCGGGCGCUGACGAGUGGCGGACGGGUGAGUAACGCGUAGGAAUCUGCCUUAUAGUGGGGGACAACGUGGGGAAACCCACGCUAAUACCGCAUACGCCCUACGGGGGAAAGCGGGGGCUCGCAAGACCUCGCGCUAUGAGAUGAGCCUGCGUUAGAUUAGCUAGUUGGUAGGGUAAAGGCCUACCAAGGCGACGAUCUAUAGCUGGUCUGAGAGGACGAUCAGCCACACUGGGACUGAGACACGGCCCAGACUCCUACGGGAGGCAGCAGUGGGGAAUAUUGGACAAUGGGCGCAAGCCUGAUCCAGCAAUACCGCGUGUGUGAAGAAGGCCCUAGGGUUGUAAAGCACUUUCAAUGGGGAGGAAAACCUGCCGGUCAAUACCCGGCAGCUUGACAUUACCUAUAGAAGAAGCACCGGCUAACUCCGUGCCAGCAGCCGCGGUAAUACGGAGGGUGCGAGCGUUAAUCGGAAUUACUGGGCGUAAAGCGUGCGUAGGCGGUACGUUAAGUCAGAUGUGAAAGCCCCGGGCUUAACCUGGGAACUGCAUUUGAAACUGGCGGACUUGAGUUGAGUAGAGGGGAGUGGAAUUUCAGGUGGAGCGGUGAAAUGCGUAGAUAUCUGAAGGAACACCAGUGGCGAAGGCGACUCCCUGGACUCAAACUGACGCUGAGGUACGAAAGCGUGGGUAGCAAACAGGAUUAGAUACCCUGGUAGUCCACGCUGUAAACGAUGUCAACUAGCCGUUGGUCCUAUUUACAGGAUUAGUGGCGCAGCUAACGCAUUAAGUUGACCGCCUGGGGAGUACGGCCGCAAGGUUAAAACUCAAAGGAAUUGACGG
rnacentral:rRNA from 1 species